UGGAUGUCCAGUCCUGACUGGUCUGGACUUAGUUGUAGGUAACCAUUAAAGGAAACCUCAACCACUACCUGUACAAAGGCAUGAUCUGGCAUUAAAAUCCUUACAAUCAUUUAUUGAAAUUUCAAAUUUCAAAAUUGAGAGGGAUGUGCCUCUCCCCUUCUCCAUUAAAUGUGUGCUGGAUGUGCUAGUUGGCUGGCACAUUGCUGACAUGGAGUGAUGCUACUGCAUCACCUUGUGCUGGUGAUGCUUCAUUCAAAUUUCUUCCCAAUCAACUUUCGAUGGUAGGAUAGAGGCCUACCAUGGUGGUGAAGGGUGACAGAUAAUUAGGGUUCGAUUCCGGAGAGGGAGCCUAAUAAAUGGCUACCACAUCUAAGGAAGGCAGUAGGAAUGAAAAAUACCCAAUCUUGACAUGGGGAGGUAUUGAUAAUAAAUACCAAUAUUGGGCUCAUCGAGUAUGGUAAUUGAAAUGAGUAUAAUCUAAAUCCCUUAAUGAGGAUCCAUGGAGAGAAAGUAUGGUUCCAACAACCAUGGUAAUUCCAGAUCCAAUAGCAUAUAUUUAAGUUGUUGUAGUUAAAAAUCUUGUAGUUGGUUAUUGGGUCAUAAAGGUCGAUAUUCCUACUCGACGUGCACCUGCCCUUCAGUCCCUUUUGUUGAUGGCAUGCUCCUUCCCUUUAUUGGAUGGGUCGUGAUUUCGGUGUUGUUACUUUGAAAAAAAUAGAGUUCUCAAAAAAAGCUUAUUCUCUGAAUACAUUAGCAUGGAAUAACAUGAUAGGAGCCUGGUCCUAUUGUGUUGGCCUUCGUGAGUAGAGUAAUUAUUAAUAGGGAUUUUCGAGGGCAUUCGUAUUUCAUUUUCAGAGGUGAAAUUCAUGGAUUUAUGAAAGAAGAACCACUACGAAAUCAUUUUCCAAGGAUGUUUUCAUUAAUCAAGAAUGAAAGCUGGGGGCUCAAACAUGAUGAGAUACCAUCCUAGUAUCAACCAUAAACGAUAUUGACUGGGAUCAACAGAUGUUCCUCUAAGGACUCCACCAACUCCUUAUGAGAAAUCAUAGUGUUUGGGUUCCGAGGGGAGUGUGGUCGCAAGGAUAAAACUUAAAUGAAAUGAUGGAAGGGAACCACCAGGAGUGGAGCUUGCAGCUUAAUUUGACUCAACAAGGGAAAACUUACCAGGUUCAGACAUAGUAAGGAUUGAUAGAUUGAGAUCUAUUUAUUGAUUCUAUGGGUGGUGUUGCAUGGACGUUCUUAUUUGGUGGAGAAAUUUUUCUUGUUAAUUCUGAUAACGAACGAGACCUCAACCUGCUAACUAGCUAAGUGGAGGUUCCCCUUCGCGGCCAACUUCUUAGAGGGACUAUGGUCAUUUAGCCCAUGGAACUUUGAGGCAAUAAUAGGUCUAUGAUUCCCUUAGAUGUUCUAGGCACCACACACGCUACACUGAUGCAAUCAACGAUUUUUUCUCCUUGGUUUGAGAGGAUCAGUAAAUCUUCUCAAAUUUCAUCGUGAUGGGGAUAGACCAUUGAAAUUAUUGAUCUUCAACAAGGAAUUCCUACUAAGCACACAUCAUUAGAUCAUGUUGACUAUGUAUCUACCCUUUGUACACAUCGCCCGUCGCUCCUACCAAUUGAAUGAUCUGGUGAAGUGUUUGGAUCGUGUCAGCGAGGGUGGUUCAUCGUCGAUGACAUCAUGAGAAGUUCAUUGAACCUUAUCAUUUAGAGGAAGGAUAUUUCAUAACAAGGUUACCAUAGGUGAACCUGUGGUAGG
rfam:Picea glauca, whole genome shotgun sequence.